rnacentral:tRNA from 1 species
GGAAGGCACACGUAUCCGGUGAUGCGGCCGGGCUUCAAACCCGGUGGGGGGUGCCAGUCACUCCCGGGUAGGUUCGACUCCUGCUGUCUUCCGCCA